UACGCAGGCGGCUUGUCAAGUCGGGUGUGAAAUCCCGGAGCUCAACUCCGGAACUGCGCCCGAAACUGGCAGGCUUGAAUACGGGAGAGGAAAGCGGAAUUCCUGGUGUAGAGGUGAAAUUCGUAGAUAUCAGGAGGAACACCAGUGGCGAAAGCGGCUUUCUGGCCCGAUAUUGACGCUCAUGUACGAAAGCGUGGGUAGCAAACA
rnacentral:rRNA from 1 species